AUACUUUCUGGCCGAGUGUGAGUACAACCUAUGGGUGUGGUUGGAGAGAACAUGUGUUCCACCUGAAUGGCAGAUCAAGAUUAUUCCUUCUCAUCUGCUGCAAUGGCUCAAUGUGUUAAGGAGAGGAGCGAGACAGCAAGAACUGCAUUCAUUCAGUCAUACAGACCAAAAGGAGGAAUGUCGCCCAGCCCUCUAAACUGACCCAGAACCCAGCUCAUGUCUCAACUGCUACCUCUACUACUUAGAAAGAAGUAACUCCGCCAAAGCAGGGUUCUG
rnacentral:lncRNA from 1 species